CCCAGUUCGGAUUGCAGUCUGCAACUCGACUGCAUGAAGCCGGAAUCGCUAGUAAUCGCGGAUCAGAAUGCCGCGGUGAAUACGUUCCCGGGUCUUGUACACACCGCCCGUCACACCAUGGGAGUCGGAAAUGCCCGAAGCCGGUGGCCUAACCGAUAAGGGAGGAGCCGUCGAAGGCAGGUCUGAUGACUGGGGUGAAGUCGUAACAAGGUAGC
rnacentral:rRNA from 1 species